GGCGAACGGGUGAGUAACACGUGAGUAACCUGCCCUUGACUUCGGGAUAAGCCUGGGAAACCGGGUCUAAUACCGGAUACAACGGACCACCGCAUGGCGGUCCGUGGAAAGCUUUAUGCGGUUUUGGAUGGACUCGCGGCCUAUCAGCUUGUUGGUUGGGGUAAUGGCCCACCAAGGCGACGACGGGUAGCCGGCCUGAGAGGGUGACCGGCCACACUGGGACUGAGACACGGCCCAGACUCCUACGGGAGGCAGCAGUGGGGAAUAUUGCACAAUGGGCGGAAGCCUGAUGCAGCGACGCCGCGUGAGGGACGAAUGCCUUCGGGUUGUAAACCUCUUUCAGCAGGGAAGAAGCGAAAGUGACGGUACCUGCAGAAGAAGCGCCGGCUAACUACGUGCCAGCAGCCGCGGUAAUACGUAGGGCGCAAGCGUUAUCCGGAAUUAUUGGGCGUAAAGAGCUCGUAGGCGGUUUGUCGCGUCUGCUGUGAAAGCCCGGGGCUCAACCCCGGGUCUGCAGUGGGUACGGGCAGACUAGAGUGAUGUAGGGGAGACUGGAAUUCCUGGUGUAGCGGUGAAAUGCGCAGAUAUCAGGAGGAACACCGAUGGCGAAGGCAGGUCUCUGGGCAUUAACUGACGCUGAGGAGCGAAAGCAUGGGGAGCGAACAGGAUUAGAUACCCUGGUAGUCCAUGCCGUAAACGUUGGGCACUAGGUGUGGGGGGACAUUCCACGUUUUCCGCGCCGUAGCUAACGCAUUAAGUGCCCCGCCUGGGGAGUACGGCCGCAAGGCUAAAACUCAAAGGAAUUGACGG
rnacentral:rRNA from 1 species